CAUAUGCCUUCUGGAUGACCUCUGCGUUGACGAAGAGCUGCGGGUAGAUCUCGUAGGGAGCUGGCAGUGUGACAUCCUUGGUAUCCUCGCGAUGGAGCACAGCGACAGUCAGUGAGUAGACGAACAGUGCCUCGUUCAGGUGCUCCCGCGCCCAAAUGGCCGUCUGGAAUCAAAAGGACACUCGUUAUA